CAGGAGUGAUCAGUGUAACAGGAGUUUUGAGGCUGGAUUUCCUACACAGAGCUGUGUCUAUAACCUCCCCAAGAGGAACCUCAGCCUCUCUGAUGCUGGAACUUACUACUGUGCUGUGGCCAUAUGUGGGGAGAUCCUAUUUGGGAAUGGGCUGGAGAUUACAGGACAUUCCCAGGUACCAGCUGAGCGGACUCUCUCCCACAACACACUUUCAGAAACCACCAGCUGUCAGAAUCCUCAGAUAAGAACAGAAACCUACACUGCCUUGGCUUUUAAUGAAACUAGAGCUAAACACACAAAAACAAGGAAGGAGCAGGAGGGAAGAGUAAUAUACAGUCAAGUCCAUUUUCAGGCAAGAAAUGACAAGAAGUAAAAAAAUGUCAGAUAUCAAUUUGUUCAUUGAGGCCUGACUCUUUCCAUAGACAGAACAUAAUCGUUAAUUAGCAGGUAAUUGACUAAGUUCUUAAAUUGGUUAGUACAGUAACAUGCAUACUUACAAGUUUGAACUUAAAACAAACCACCAAAUUAAAAGACCACCCAAUCCACUCAAUGUUACUCUUUCACACAAUAUAUAAUUCGCUGUGCUUUAGAUGUCAUUAUGACCAUCUGUACUGGGCACUCCUUUACAUCGGAAUUAGUUUUAUUUCUUUCUCCAUCCUUCCUUUUUCUAAGGACUGUAUCCAAUACAGUCGCAAGGGAGCUGGAUCCUAUCAAUGCAAGCACUGGGUACAAGGCAGGAUACAACCUGGACAGAAUGCCAGUCCAUCACAGGACACACACAGACACAAACAUAUACACACUCAAACCAGGGCCAAUUUAUCUACCAAUAUGUCUUUGGACUGUGGGAGGAAACUAGAGUACCUGGAGGAUAUCCAUGUAAACACUGGGAGAACAUACACACUCCAUGCAGAUAGCAAUCCAGGAAUUGAACCUGGGGCCCCAGAACAGUGACACAGCAAUGGUAACAACCAUAUAAUUGUGCUACGCUGUCCUGUUCCAUUUUGUGCUCAAUUGCAUUGGUAUUGUCUUAGUAAUAGGGCUGCUGUGUAAUGUGAUUGUGGCUGUGUAUUGAAGCAACUUAAAAACAAUUAAUAUGAAUAAGAUUGGUGUAGCCCAUUGUUUCUGAGAUAUAACCAUUAGCUCUGCACUGUGGUGCUUGGGUGCAUUAAUAUACUGGCUAAAACAUAUUAUUGCAGAAUUGAAGUUCUUUCAUAUAGUUCAAAUAAAGGUGUCAUACAGCUUAUAAUACCAAAACAGUUUGUCCAGGGAGGUCUG